rnacentral:rRNA from 1 species
CAUGCAAGUCGAGGGGCAGCGCGGGAUAGCAAUAUCCUGGCGGCGACCGGCGGAAGGGUGCGUAACGCGUGAGCGACAUGCCCGUUGCCCGGGGACAACCGGUGGAAACGCCGACUAAUCCCCGAUGGGAUAUUGUGCCGCAUGGCACGAUAUUGAAAGUUACGGCGGCGACGGAUUGGCUCGCGUCCGAUUAGCUUGUUGGCGGGGUAACGGCCCACCAAGGCUACGAUCGGUAGGGGUUCUGAGAGGAAGGCCCCCCACAAUGGGACUGAGACACGGCCCAUACUCCUACGGGAGGCAGCAGUGAGGAAUAUUGGUCAAUGGGCGGAAGCCUGAACCAGCCAUGCCGCGUGCGGGAAGGAGGCCCUAUGGGCUGUGAACCGCUUUUGCCUGGGGGCAAUAAGGGCGUCGCGCACGCCCGAUGAGAGUACCAGGCGAAUAAGCAUCGGCCAACUCCGUGCCAGCAGCCGCGGUAAUACGGGGGAUGCGAGCGUUAUCCGGAUUCAUUGGGUUUAAAGGGUGCGUAGGCUGUGCGUCAAGUCGGGGGUGAAAUUCCGGUGCUCAACACCGGGGCUGCCCUUGAUACUGUCGCGCUGGAGUGCGGAUGCCGCCGGAGGAAUGAGUGGUGUAGCGGUGAAAUGCUUAGAUAUCACUCAGAACACCGAUUGCGAAGGCAUCUGGCGAAUCCGUAACUGACGCUGAGGCACGAAAGCGUGGGGAUAGAACA